AUGCUUACUCUGGCUGCACUAACACGAAAAUUGGCAUGACAGAGAUGAUCAUGACCGCUGCGCAAGGGUGACAUGUAAAUUCAUUUUAUUUUAAAAAUAAUU
rnacentral:snRNA from 1 species